UACCAGCUCUCCGAGUGGUAGGGAUGAUUAUUGGGCUUAAAGCGUCCGUAGCCGGCUUAGCAAGUCUCCUGUUAAAUUCAGCGACCUAAUCGUUGAGCCGCGGGAGAUACUACUAGGCUAGGAGGCGGGAGAGGUCAACGGUACUUCCGGGGUAGGGGUGAAAUCCUAUAAUCCCGGGAGGACCACCAGUGGCGAAGGCUGUUGACUAGAACGCGCUCGACGGUGAGGGGCGAAAGCUGGGGGAGCGAACCGGAUUAGAUACCCGGGUAGUCCCAGCUGUAAACGAUGCGAGCUAGGUGUUGGGGUGGCUACGUGCCACUUCAGUGCCGCAGGGAAGCCAUUAAGCUCGCCGCCUGGGGAGUACGGCCGCAAGGCUGAAAUUUAAAGGAAUUGGCGGGGAGCACCACAAGGCGUGAAGCUUGCGGUUC
rnacentral:rRNA from 1 species